GCGGGUAUAGUUUAAUGGUAGAAUAGGAGAUUUCCAAUCUCUUGAUGAGGGUUCGAUUCCCUUUACCCGCU
rnacentral:tRNA from 1 species